GGUACAUAGCAGAAAUCACUGUUACCUGAGUCACAGCAGCACCUCCCCGCCUCCCUCCCCGCAGCAGUUCACUCCCCUGGGUGGGGGAAGACUCUCAAGCAGCACCUGCACCCUCCAACAGACAGAAGGAUCUCAGAGCAGCGCUCUACCAAAACCCCAGCAAUAACAGAAAGAUACCAGGGCAAGAAGCAGCUUCCUGUGCUGGAUGAAACCACGCUCCUCGGACCAGAUCAUGUUAACAAGGACUAGGUAAAUUACCAUGAGAACUGGAGAGCAUGGAGUAGAGGAAACUCAACCCGGGAAGGAGAAGCCACGCAGAGGCAGACCCCACGACCAAUGACAGCUACCCGUGGGCGACUUUUCCUAGAAAAUCACAUGGCUGAUUCCUGGUCAAAGAACACACAUAUCUGAGCCUUCUGAGACAAAGACUUCUCCAAAAAGGUUGCUGAGGACUGUCAGGAACACCUUGCCUUUGAGCUGCGCCUCUCCAGAUCGCCUGCAGCCUUCCUGGAGAAAAAGUUUGCCAAGCCCUGGUCUAGAGGAACUUGAGCUCCAAGAUACAUGGGAAGCGGUGGAAACCUUUAAAUUCUCAGUUGCCAGGUAGAAGACAGCAGGGAGAAGGGAGAGAGGAAGUCGACAGCCAGCGUCUCCUCUUCUAAAGGACAUGACCCAGUUCUCCUCACAUCUUACUGGUCACAGCUUUUUGAUACAGCCACACGCACCGCUGAAAGGGAGGCCCCAGAAUGGUCAUCCCUAACUUGGUCACCAAGUGCCUUGCUAACACUUGGAGUUGGAGGCACAACAGAAUGAAAACUGACCAUGUGGAGCAUGUAUUCCAGAAAGGGAAGACAACACUAGGCAAGUAAAGAGCAGUUUCUGUGGAAUCGUGGGGCUGAAAGCCUGAGUGGAUUGAAUUCAGGGGAAGACAGGAGGAGGUGGGAUUAGAGAGGGUGAGUUUGGUUCUCUCCUUUGAGAAGAAAGCCGGGAGUAACUUGAACAUAGGUUGAAGGUAAAGGAGCAGUAGAAAUGAGGAGGCUGAAGACACAUGGAAGAGCUGGGUCCCUGAGAAGCAGCAUGUAGGCCUUGCCUUUUCCUCUCGGCCCGCCUAUAAGAAGGUAAGAAUGGGAGUGAACGAAGAUGUUCAGGGAAGGAAAGAGAAAACAGUAGGAGGCUGUGGGAAUUCCUAACAGUUUUCACUUCCUUUCUGGAGUCAAAGCAAAGUCUCCCCCUGAGUGUGCGGGGAGCUGUUUCCCGCGUCUGUGUGCGGUAGAAGGAAUGAGGAAGGGACUCGUACUGAUCUGAGGUUGCCCAUGGGGAUUUGGGGCCAGGACUGAAAUCACUGAGAAGAUUGGUAAGAUAGUGUUUGAAGGGGUGAAUCCUGUGCUAUCUCCCCUCAGUACUCAGCACUUUCUUCAACCUCCACUUUUCCAACGGCAGGAGUGAAAAGGAGCCUUAGACCUCCAGAGGCAAACUCUCCCCAAACUCAUCUUACCAAAACUACCUGCCUUAAAGGUCACCAGGCCUUAGCUCAGUAUGCUGUUUUAAUCAAUCACCACAAGCCCCAAACCACCUUCUUUUAACCAUGAACAGACAAGCAAAGACUGCCAGACAUCCAAAGACAGUCUCUGUGUCAGGUUUAUAACACCUGUGCCAGCACCGUCACCUACUUACAGGAAAUGGAAACCUAGAAUCCUCUUCCUCCUUUACUCACUGAGUCAAUUAUCAAGCUCUGUUCACCCGAACUUCUAAAUAUUCCCCAGCCCACACACUCCUCUCCAUCCCCACUCCACACCACUGGUAGUUUGGGUCUCCAUCAUCUCUCCUUUGGAUACUUACCGUAUCCCUCCCCCUUUUCUCUCUGAAAAACUGAUCACACUCUUCUGGUUGAAAUUUUUCAAUGAUUGCCUCACUGCCUUUAGAAAAAUGUCCAUCCAAACUCACCAACCUGGUUUCCAAAUACCUUCUACUACAUCAUCUUAAUCUGUCCCCACUUCCUCUGCUCACUCAUCCAUACCCUACUGUUUCCCCACUGCUAUGUGCCCUGCACUUUCUCUUGCUCUGCUCCAGUCCCUCUGCCCUGUUCCCUUUCCCGGCUAAUCCCAUCUUCAUCCUUCUUGUCUCAGUCUAGCCUCUAGAAAGCGUUCCUGACUCCCCACCACUACACACACACCCAGACACUCAGGGGGCGCCCCCAUCCCUGUUAACAUCACUCUAAUUGCUUGUUUCCUGCCGGGAUUCUGUUUUUUGGGAGUCACUCCGCUGUCUCUGACAUUCCAGCACUGUGUCAAGUGCA